GGGCGGUUAAAUUAUUUUUUUCAGUUUAUUUUUCUUAGCGUUGAUAGUAAAAUAAAAUACAUCUUAACUCAAAAAUGUCAAAAUAAUAACAACUACAUGUCAAUCAGUUAUAUAUCUGAAUACCAGGGAGGGAGCGAGGGGCGACACGAUUUAUAUCAAUUAUUCAUUUCUGACAGUCUUUAAAAGAUUCAAAAAAAGAAACGGAAG
rnacentral:lncRNA from 1 species